rnacentral:rRNA from 1 species
ACGCUCGACACCUACGGAGGCAGCAGUGAGGGAUAUUGGUCAAUGGGGGGAACCCUGAACCAGCAACGCCGCGUGAGGGAUGACGGUCUUCGGAUUGUAAACCUCUGUCCUCUGUGAAGAUAAUGACGGUAGCAGAGGAGGAAGCUCCGGCUAACUACGUGCUAGCAGCCGCGGUAAUCUGAGCGGGCUGGCAAGGC